rnacentral:rRNA from 1 species
UUAAGCGACUAAGCGUACACGGUGGAUGCCCUGGCAGUCAGAGGCGAUGAAGGACGUGCUAAUCUGCGAAAAGCGUCGGUAAGGUGAUAUGAACCGUUAUAGCCGGCGAUGUCCGAAUGGGGAAACCCAGUGUGAUUCGUCACACUAUCGUUAACUGAAUACAUAGGUUAACGAGGCGAACCGGGGGAACUGAAACAUCUAAGUACCCCGAGGAAAAGAAAUCAACCGAGAUUCCCCCAGUAGCGGCGAGCGAACGGGGAGCAGCCCAGAGUCUGAAUCAGCUUGUGUGUUAGUGGAACGGUCUGGAAAGUCCGACGGUACAGGGUGAUAGUCCCGUACACCAAAAUGCACAGGUUGUGAACUCGAAGAGUAGGGCGGGACACGUGGUAUCCUGUCUGAAUAUGGGGGGACCAUCCUCCAAGGCUAAAUACUCCUGACUGACCGAUAGUGAACCAGUACCGUGAGGGAAAGGCGAAAAGAACCCCGGCGAGGGGAGUGAAAAAGAACCUGAAACCGUGUACGUACAAGCAGUGGGAGCACCUUCGGGUGUGACUGCGUACCUUUUGUAUAAUGGGUCAGCGACUUAUAUUCUGUAGCAAGGUUAACCGUAUAGGGGAGCCGCAGGGAAACCGAGUCUUAACUGGGCGUUAAGUUGCAGGGUAUAGACCCGAAACCCGGUGAUCUAGCCAUGGGCAGGUUGAAGGUUGGGUAACACUAACUGGAGGACCGAACCGACUAAUGUUGAAAAAUUAGCGGAUGACUUGUGGCUGGGGGUGAAAGGCCAAUCAAACCGGGAGAUAGCUGGUUCUCCCCGAAAGCUAUUUAGGUAGCGCCUCGUGAAUUCAUCUUCGGGGGUAGAGCACUGUUUCGGCUAGGGGGUCAUCCCGACUUACCAACCCGAUGCAAACUACGAAUACCGAAGAAUGUUAUCACGGGAGACACACGGCGGGUGCUAACGUCCGUCGUGAAGAGGGAAACAACCCAGACCGCCAGCUAAGGUCCCAAAGUCAUGGUUAAGUGGGAAACGAUGUGGGAAGGCACAGACAGCCAGGAUGUUGGCUUAGAAGCAGCCAUCAUUUAAAGAAAGCGUAAUAGCUCACUGGUCGAGUCGGCCUGCGCGGAAGAUGUAACGGGGCUAAACCAUGCACCGAAGCUGCGGCAGCGACACUAUGUGUUGUUGGGUAGGGGAGCGUUCUGUAAGCCUGCGAAGGUGUGCUGUGAGGCAUGCUGGAGGUAUCAGAAGUGCGAAUGCUGACAUAAGUAACGAUAAAGCGGGUGAAAAGCCCGCUCGCCGGAAGACCAAGGGUUCCUGUCCAACGUUAAUCGGGGCAGGGUGAGUCGACCCCUAAGGCGAGGCCGAAAGGCGUAGUCGAUGGGAAACAGGUUAAUAUUCCUGUACUUGGUGUUACUGCGAAGGGGGGACGGAGAAGGCUAUGUUAGCCGGGCGACGGUUGUCCCGGUUUAAGCAUGUAGGCUGGUUGUCCAGGCAAAUCCGGAUAAUCAAGGCUGAGGUGUGAUGACGAGGCACUACGGUGCUGAAGUAACAAAUGCCCUGCUUCCAGGAAAAGCCUCUAAGCAUCAGGUAACAUUAAAUCGUACCCCAAACCGACACAGGUGGUCAGGUAGAGAAUACCAAGGCGCUUGAGAGAACUCGGGUGAAGGAACUAGGCAAAAUGGUGCCGUAACUUCGGGAGAAGGCACGCUGGUGUGUAGGUGAAGUCCCUGCGGAUGGAGCUGAGACCAGUCGAAGAUACCAGCUGGCUGCAACUGUUUAUUAAAAACACAGCACUGUGCAAACACGAAAGUGGACGUAUACGGUGUGACGCCUGCCCGGUGCCGGAAGGUUAAUUGAUGGGGUUAUCCGUAAGGAGAAGCUCUUGAUCGAAGCCCCGGUAAACGGCGGCCGUAACUAUAACGGUCCUAAGGUAGCGAAAUUCCUUGUCGGGUAAGUUCCGACCUGCACGAAUGGCGUAAUGAUGGCCAGGCUGUCUCCACCCGAGACUCAGUGAAAUUGAACUCGCUGUGAAGAUGCAGUGUACCCGCGGCAAGACGGAAAGACCCCGUGAACCUUUACUAUAGCUUGACACUGAACAUUGAGCCUUGAUGUGUAGGAUAGGUGGGAGGCUUUGAAGCGUGGACGCCAGUCUGCGUGGAGCCAACCUUGAAAUACCACCCUUUAAUGUUUGAUGUUCUAACGUUGGCCCCUUACCGGGGUUGCGGACAGUGUCUGGUGGGUAGUUUGACUGGGGCGGUCUCCUCCCAAAGCGUAACGGAGGAGCACGAAGGUUAGCUAAUCCUGGUCGGACAUCAGGAGGUUAGUGCAAUGGCAUAAGCUAGCUUGACUGCGAGCGUGACGGCGCGAGCAGGUGCGAAAGCAGGUCAUAGUGAUCCGGUGGUUCUGAAUGGAAGGGCCAUCGCUCAACGGAUAAAAGGUACUCCGGGGAUAACAGGCUGAUACCGCCCAAGAGUUCAUAUCGACGGCGGUGUUUGGCACCUCGAUGUCGGCUCAUCACAUCCUGGGGCUGAAGUAGGUCCCAAGGGUAUGGCUGUUCGCCAUUUAAAGUGGUACGCGAGCUGGGUUUAGAACGUCGUGAGACAGUUCGGUCCCUAUCUGCCGUGGGCGCUGGAGAAUUGAGGGGGGCUGCUCCUAGUACGAGAGGACCGGAGUGGACGCAUCACUGGUGUUCGGGUUGUCAUGCCAAUGGCACUGCCCGGUAGCUAAAUGCGGAAGAGAUAAGUGCUGAAAGCAUCUAAGCACGAAACUUGCCCCGAGAUGAGUUCUCCCUGAGACUUUAAGUCUCCUGAAGGAACGUUGAAGACGACGACGUUGAUAGGCCGGGUGUGUAAGCGCAGCGAUGCGUUGAGCUAACCGGUACUAAUGAACCGUGAGGCUUAACCUU